rnacentral:rRNA from 1 species
AUGACGGGCAGGACCGCUGCCACCCCCACACUGAGUAUGAAGCUUCUCGUCGACACCAAGGCGCGCCGCGUGCACUUUGCGGAGGCCGGCAAGGACGUGGAGGACUUCCUCUUCUCCUUGCUCGCGCUGCCCAUCGGCACAGUCGUCAAGCUGAUCGGCGGCAAGUCCAUGGUGGGUAGCGCCGGCGACCUCUACCACAACGUCGAGCUUCUCGACGGAACCUACGUCCAGCCCGGCGCGGCCAAGGACACGAUCCUCCGCCCGGUCAUGGCCCCCUCGCCGGCCAACAGCGCCCUCCUCGGCCUGCCGGCCCCGACGCCGUCCAACAGAUUCUCAUUCUACAGGUGCUCCUCCUACGCCGCUUACAUCAUUUGCCGCGAAUACGUGACAGACGUGAGUGGCACCAAAUGUCCCAGAUGUUCCUGUGUGAUGACGACCCAAAUCCAGUACGCGCCGCUUGCCGGUGCCGUGGCUGGCGUUGCGCAGAACGCGCCCACCGCGGAUGGGUUCGUGCGGGGCAUCGUGACGUACACGGUGAUGGACAGCCUCGCGGUGUCGCCCAUAUCCGCCAUCUCCAGCAUCGCGCUGCUCAACACCUUCGCGGUCACGGAUCUCACCGCGCUCCAGGAGAUGACCGUGCACAUCGGAUACAAGGAGGGUUUGGAGAUAUUGAAGGCCUCGCCGCAAUCCAAGACUGUUCUCACCGAUGUCUUCCUUUGA